GGGCAAGUUAGCCUUGCGGAACCUUGUUUGCUCAGCUGCGGCUAAUUUCUUUCUAAAGGGUGGUCUGAGGAUUUACUACUGGGUUAUGUGGAAGGCAGUCCAACAAAAGGUCAGCGUAAAGAAACACUGGACUUGGCGAAUUUUCCAUUCCUGAAGACACAGCCUCUGACAACCAUUCCUAAGGUCCUCUCAAGGCUCGGGGAAUUCGAUGUCAUGACUCUAAGGAGAAAACGGCUAAAAACAUGGAGAAUCCAAACACACUGCUGAAAGUUCAACCUUCCUAAUGGCAGUAGCAGCAUCCAUGGUCUGUCCCACUCACUUCCUCUUCCCAACCUUCGGUGACGAAUCUUAAGAAGCAGAAACAAGAAAGCUAUCGACAGACCAGAGAAGCUGUUGGUGGAGGUGCAAGAAGUAGGUGAAAUGCUCACCAGAGCGAUUUAAAACUGGUCAGAUAAAUGUGGGGCUUGAAAACACUCAGAAGAAACUCCUCCCUGCUGCCCUG